rnacentral:misc_RNA from 1 species
ACUGCCCUCUCCUUGCAUAACCUGUAAUUAAAGCAGACCAAGCAACAACAUCCCUUUCGGUGAAAUCAUCAAAAAUUGAUCUAGCUAUUCCCAAAUCUCCACAUUUAGCAUGAUGAUGGAUAAGGGUACUCCUUACAAACAUAUUUUCUUCAAACCCAUAUUUGGCAACCUUCCCAUGAAUACAAAGACCUGUAUUUCUCCAUCCGAGCCUAGUACAAGCCUUAAGCAAGAAAGAAAACGUGCACUUAUCAGGCUUUACACCACGACUUUCCAUCUGUAAAUAGAGUAGAAUUGUUUUUGAAGGAUUUUGACUUUGAGCUGAGCCUCUCAUCAUAGUGUUCCACAUAAAGAUGUCCGGUUCGGCAAUUUGAGCGAACAUUUGGUGGGCAUAGUCUAUGCUGCCAGAAAGAGCAACCGCGGAGGCAAAUAUGAGCUCCCUUAAGGCGGAUGAGCAUGAAUUGAAGCCUUUAGUGAUAAGGGAAGCAUGAAUUUGUUUUAAACAGCGAAGAUUAGUGCAGUUUUGCCAUAGGCUUAACCGCCGAUGGCGGGUGGUGCUAAUGUCAUUAGUUCUCUUCCUUAUCA